UUGUGUGUGGCUUCAUCUCUUGUAGAGACAUAUAAGGAUUGUGAGGUGACACAUUACCUGAGCUGCAACAGUGCAACAAGUGAUACAGCAAUUACCAGCAGUUUUCUGCUUGACCAGCAUGUUUAAGCCAGCCAAACUGGUCAAAUUAAUAAGUCAUCUUCAAAUCCACUUCAACAUGCAGUUGUCUGUGGAGUACAUCUUGUCUUGGGAGCACCCUUUGAUUUUACAUCUUGUGACAUUCCAAUCAUACGGAGAUGGUGGACUCCAGAUGGUUUUCUCUGAAAGUGCAGAAACCCUACAAGAGGCC